GUCGGGAUGGCCGAGUGGUCUAAGGUGCCAGACUCAAAUUUUAUCGGCGUGGGUUCAAAUCCCACUUCUGACA
rnacentral:tRNA from 1 species